AUUGAACGCUGGCGGCAGGCCUAACACAUGCAAGUCGAACGAGUGGCGGACGGGUGAGUAAUGUCUGGGAAAAUGCCCGAUGGAGGGGGCUAACUACUGGAAACGGUAGCUAAUACCGCAUACCAUCUGAUGUGCGCAGAUUGGCUUAGCUUUUAGGGGAGGUAACGUCUCACCUAGGCGACUAUCCCUAGCUUGUCUGAGAGGAUGACCAGCCACACUGGAACGAAGAGACGGUCCAGAUUCCUACGGGAGGAAGCAGUGGGGAAUAUUGCACAAUGGGCGCAAGCCUGAUGCAGCCAUGCCGAGUGUAUGAAGAAGGCCUUCGGGUUGGAAAGUACUUUCAGCGGGGAGGCGUUACCCGCAGAAGAAGCACCGGCUAACUCCGUGCCAGCCGCCGCGGUAAUUC
rnacentral:rRNA from 1 species